GAAAUGCAUCGUUUUGUGACGAAAAACGUUUCUAUUUGUUAUGUCCGAACUCUGUGGGGUUUUGGGCGCGUCAACAUUUUCGCGCCUGUUGUGACGUCACCAACGGUUUUGGCGCGAGCACGGUAGCGCAUGUCGUGACGUCACUGAUUACGCGCGAGGCAUCUUUCUUUCGCGCGUCUUUUUAUCGUUGUUUCUCAAUAUUCUUUGUUUCACAUGAUCAGUCUCUGUUUGCAGUCGUUGUGUAACGUGUCGUAUUGCCCAAGGUAGUCUCGUUUGAUAGUGUAUGAAAACAACUGAAGUCACGCUUAAACAGCUGGCAGCACUUUAGCCUUUGCACUGGAAUUUUGAUGAUAAUUGCACUCAGCGUGUUACAACAUCUGCUGUGCAGUAUUUGUAGCUCAAGAACGAG